UCGGGAAACCGGAGCUAAUACCGGAUAAUCCUUUUCCUCUCAUGAGGAAAAGCUGAAAGACGGCUUCUCGCUGUCACUUACAGAUGGGCCCGCGGCGCAUUACCUAGUUGGGGAGGUAACGGCUCACCAAGGCAACGAUGCGUAGCCAACCUGAAAGGGUGAUCGGCCACACUGGGACUGAAACACGGCCCAAACUCCUACGGGAGGCAGCAGUAGGGAAUCUUCCGCAAUGGACAAAAGUCUGACGGACCAACGCCGCGUGAGUGAUGAAGGUUUUCGGAUCGUAAAGCUCUGUUGUUAGGGAAAAACAAGUACAAAAGUAACUGCUUGUACCUUGACGGUACCUAACCAAAAAGCCACGGCUAACUACGUGCCACCAGCCGCGGUAAUACGUAGGUGGCAAGCGUUGUCCGGAAUUAUUGGGCGUAAAGCGCGCGCAGGCGGUCCUUUAAGUCUGAUGUGAAAGCCCACGGCUCAACCGUGGAGGGUCAUUGGAAACUGGGGGACUUGAGUGCAAAAAAGAAGAGUG
rnacentral:rRNA from 1 species